rnacentral:rRNA from 1 species
GGUGGUGCAUGGUUGUCGUCAGCUCGUGUCGUGAGAUGUUGGGUUAAGUCCCGCAACGAGCGCAACCCUUAAGCUUAGUUGCCAGCAUUCAGUUGGGCACUCUAAGGUGACUGCCGGUGACAAACCGGAGGAAGGUGGGGAUGACGUCAAAUCAUCAUGCCCCUUAUGACCUGGGCUACACACGUGCUACAAUGGACGGUACAAACGGUUGCCAACCCGCGAGGGGGAGCUAAUCCGAUAAAACCGUUCUCAGUUCGGAUUGUAGGCUGCAACUCGCCUACAUGAAGCCGGAAUCGCUAGUAAUCGUGGAUCAGCAUGCCACGGUGAACACGUUCCCGGGUCUUGUACACAC